rnacentral:rRNA from 1 species
AUUGAACGCUGGCGGCAUGCUUUACACAUGCAAGUCGAACGGCAGCGCGGGCUUCGGCCUGGCGGCGAGUGGCGAACGGGUGAGUAAUGCAUCGGAACGUGCCCAGUAGUGGGGGAUAGCCCGGCGAAAGCCGGAUUAAUACCGCAAACGACCCGAGGGUGAAAGCGGGGGACCGAAAGGCCUCGCGCUAUUUGAGCGGCCGAUGUCGGAUUAGCUAGUUGGUGGGGUAAAGGCUUACCAAGGCGACGAUCCGUAGCUGGUCUGAGAGGACGACCAGCCACACUGGGACUGAGACACGGCCCAGACUCCUACGGGAGGCAGCAGUAGGGAAUUUUGGACAAUGGGGGCAACCCUGAUCCAGCCAUGCCGCGUGCGGGAAGAAGGCCUUCGGGUUGUAAACCGCUUUUGUUCGGGAAGAAAUCCUCUGGGCUAAUACCCCGGGGGGAUGACGGUACCGGAAGAAUAAGCACCGGCUAACUACGUG